rnacentral:rRNA from 1 species
UACAGAGGGUGCGAGCGUUGUUCGGAAUUACUGGGCGUAAAGCGCGCGCAGGCGGCUCUUUAAGUCUGACGGUGAAAUGCCGGGGCUCAACCCCGAGCGUGCCGGAGAUACUGGAGGGCUGGAGACGAGUAGAGGCAAGCGGAAUUCCGGGUGUAGCGGUGGAAUGCGUAGAGAUCCGGAAGAACACCGGAGGCGAAAGCGCUCUGCUGGACCUUAACUGACACUGAGGGACGAAAGCUAGGGGAGCGAAUGGG